rnacentral:rRNA from 1 species
CACGCCGUAAACGAUGGAUACUAGCUGUUCGGCGCAAGUUGAGUGGCUAAGCGAAAGUGAUAAGUAUCCCACCUGGGGAGUACGCACGCAAGUGUGAAACUCAAAGGAAUUGACGGGGGCCCGCACAAGCGGUGGAGCAUGUGGUUUAAUUCGAUGAUACGCGAGGAACCUUACCAGGGCUUAAAUGUAGAUUGACAGGACUGGAAACAGUUUUUUCUUCGGACAAUUUACAAGGUGC